ensembl:processed_transcript
AGAAGGUCCUUGUCUGGUGUGAGGGUCCAUUUGUGCCAAGGUUUCACCUCUUGCAUCAACUCCUGGAACACAUGCUGCCAUUGUCCUAUGUCUCCUAUGUCUUCUUCCAUCAUGGCUGCAGUGCUGGGCCCAGGCUGGGGCAGGGUCUUCUGGGCCCAGAAAGACCUGUGGCAAGAGGUGAAUUGUUCACUCAGACAGCCAGGCUUCAGGCUGUCAGACCCUCUGAAGACCUGAAUUGGGACUGUAGUUCAGAUUCUUCUGUCCCAGGGACAAAGGUCAGUUGAGUCUGUCCCCAGGUUCAGAGGACAGCAGUGGACAACCAGGAGAAAUCACAAAACUCCAAGCUCUGGUUUUUAAGGUCUCAAUACACUAGCAAGGGAAAAAGAGUUGGAGUCCAAAGCAGGGAUGAACGGCCUCUGGAGAGUCUCUGAAAGGGCUGGAGGCUACGCUUGCCUUUUCUGGUUCUAACAUUUGGAAAUCUUCAUUUUUUUGUGCUGCUGAGCUCCCACUUGAGGCAAAAGAGGCCUCCCUGGGAUCCCCACACUCUGGGAAGUCCUCAGUCACACCUAGUAUCUCAAGAGAAUGGUGGGUGAUCUGUAGACAUCCAGCUGUUCACCCCGCCCACCAACCACAGCCUGAGCCCGGAGGUCUCCGACCCACCCAAAUUCUUCACUUACCAGAAAUCGAAGCUGGUGCAGCCAGUGGUUGCCUGGGAGAUUAGGUGAUGUCCCUAGAUGAGUGGAAAGCUGCUGGUCCAAGACCAACAGGGACCCAUUGCCUUCCUCCACAAGAAGGUUGGCUCACUAUUACCCCAAAUGGAGGAAGGCAGAGAGGAGCAGAGUUGGAUCAGGCAGUACCCUAUGGAAGGCAGACAAGAUUCUGAGUGUCUACACCCCGAGACUCCAUCCACACAUAGGGUGGGUCUUCCUAUCCACUGAUUGCCCUGGCUGCUUCCCAAACUGGACCUCCGCAACCUAGAAGAGAAAAGAAGGAAACAAGGGGAGGGGCUUCCUGUGAUGUUUGGAAACAAAGUUUCUCCAGGUUUCUCUACCCUAUUCACAACAGCUUUAUGGCCAGACUUAGACCGCAGUCUUUUCUCCCUGCCUUCAUUUAGUUUCUCAAUGUUAUUUGCUCAGUUAUAAAUUAACUACAUCAUUUGGGGAGGUAGUUCAGUUUCUUCUUAUUGACCCUCCCCCCCUUUUAGCUUCUCACUAUGGGGUGUCCUUCUCUGCCACCCCUGCCCCCCAAGCUCCCAGUUGCUUAUUCCAGCUUUCGAUAAAUAGGAGUUCUCUAUUUUCAUUGAACGGUGCUAUGCUCUUCACGUGUUUGGGGUCUUUCCUAGAGGUCUCACUGUGUAAGACAGUCCCUAGGGCUGGUGCUGAAUUAUUUCUGAGAGAAUGGAGGCUACUGUGUUUCUAAUAUGGAAAGUACAAAUGUUAGGGGAGUUUUGUUCCUAGUUGUGUGUGGUGCCGGCUGUGGACUCACUGUUGAUAAGUCAACAACUGAACAUAAACUAAGUCAGCUUUAAAGCUAGGCUCCCAUUAGCCUCUCCUGGGGAAAAGGGUGGGUGCCUAGUCACAGGGAUGUCACUGAGCUCAUAUUGGUCAGGUAACUGAAGCACAAGCAGAGGAUAGCUAGUCCCUCAUGUAGUCCCCUUAGGAGUAAUGGCUCUGUGUUCAAGACAACAUUUAGGGCCUCCAUGAGCAGCGGGAAUUAACUGCGCCUUCCUUUGCCCACCUCGUGGUGGCUUGCCUCCUCUCCUGCAUUAUACAGGAGAGCUAAGCUGGUGGUGGAACUAAACCUCUGCCUUGCUCCACUUUUUGUUUACAAUGUUACUAAAGCCUUAACUCAGUUAGCCAGCAAUCCUACACCCUGAGGGUCCCCAAGACCAACAUCCAAGGUUCUCUCUUAUCAGCUCAGGCUUCUGAGCCCAUGGUUAGGACUUGUGGACCUUUCCCAAGUGGGUUGAAUUGUGACAUCCCAAAUGAGGUGUCUACUUGUGAAUGUGUGUGGAAAACUUGAGUGUUUUCAGAUGUAAUUAAGGAUCUGAGAGAAGACCUUCUUUGAAAGAUUUAGAGUUUCUGUGGUUACCAGGACACAGCAUAGCAACAAGAAGACAGGUGAAAGGCCAAACUGCGUGUCACUCACAACCUGACCAGGAGAAGAAUGCCAGGCGAGCCCACACAGCGUGCCCAGGGACAUGGAACAGCAAAGUUCAGCUAUAGAGCACAGCUUACCUAUGACAGUGGCUGGAGCGUCUCUAGGCUUGCAUUAGCCUCUCCAGGGAAAAUGAGCGGAUGUCUAGUCACUCCAGGUCAAAGUCCAGCAGCAGGCAUCGUUGCCAUGGUAUGUAGAGGGAGGUGUGACACAGUAAAUAAUCACUCAUAAGCUUGGGUUGUGAAAUUCCCAGAGGCAAGCUCAUCACCAGAUGUGGCCCCAGAGAAGAGCCUCAGCCUGACUUUGAGUCCACAUGCAAGGAAGGGGGACCAUGCACAGAAGAGGAGACGAAUCUACACUGUGACAUUGCUGGAAGAUGCCUGGUGGGACAAUGUAGGAGGUUUCCUCCCUGGUUUCAGAGCAGGCUGCUGCAGUGCUGCGACUACAAACACGCCACCAUGCCCAGACUUAGUUCUUUCCAUAUGGAGUUGGAGAUCAAAGUCAGGUCUCCACACUUGCGAGGUCACCUCCAUCCCCCAGCUUCCACCUGCCUUCAGCAAGGGACACCUUCCAUGACAAACCAGGCAGGCCUGGCAUUUUCCACAAUCCCCACCUGGGCCUUCUGAUAGACCUGAAGAGAGGCUAAGUUCCUCAGAGACGGAUGUCUGGAGCACACAAUGCUUGGGGAUCCAUGGAGGACGGAAGGGAGGACUGAGGACUUCGGCUCCCCUGGAGAAACAUUUACUUAACAUUGUAAACCGAGGGAUGCACACUGGGGAUGGGACUCUGACCGUCUUCGAGAACAGUCCAGGAACUGUGUGUUGCAUUAUGGGAGCCCUCUGAAGGGUCAGCACUGUCACCAAAACAAAGUCAAAAUGGAGACCUCAGGCACCCAAACAGUUUAAUGCAAGCUGGAGUUCAGAUGUUGUCUCAGAUACGAUUCUUACACAGCCAGUCAGUAUGUGUUUCCUGAAACCUCACUGGCGUCACAGAGAGACGGCAGAGUGAUAUGUGUUGGUGGCUGGAUGACUUGAAAUGGCACUGCAAAUGUAAGGUGAUUUUACUUAUGAAAUAUGGAGUUUUCAUAAAAUAGUGCGGGAUGAAGGAGACGGAGCAAAAGAACAACAUGAAACCCCAGAAGACAAAAUAAGUGCUUGAUAUGCCUCUCGCUACUAAAUAUGAAAGACCCCCCCCAAUAAGUAGUUUAAGAAAUUUUUGUAAACAGCAACUUAAUAAAAUUUAUCCUA